UACGUAGGGUGCGAGCGUUGUCCGGAAUUAUUGGGCGUAAAGAGCUUGUAGGCGGUUUUGUCGCGUCUGCUGUGAAAAAUCCGGGGCUCAACCCCGGACUUGCAGUGGGUACGGGCAGACUAGAGUGUGGUAGGGGAGACUGGAAUUCCUGGUGUAGCGGUGAAAUGCGCAGAUAUCAGGAGGAACACCAACAGCGAAGGCAGAUCUCUGGGACGUUACUGACG
rnacentral:rRNA from 1 species